AUAAAUCAUACUGCUAAGCUCUGCCUUUUAUUAUCUUUAGGAAGAACACGAGAACAAGCCAAUUCUGUUGGAGCCGUGAUAAUGAGUAUCAAGGAAUCGAUGGGCAAUUGCUGAGGACAGGCUCUGAGAGAGAUGUGUGCUAAUCACGGUUGUGCCUGCUACACCUAUUUACAGUAUCAAGUCCUCUCAGAGAGCUCACAGUACUUUCUGGGGCCUGAGCUGCUUAAUAGGGGGCAGAAAUUUCCUUUUUCACAGUAGGAUGCUGGAUUUCAUUGGUGAAAGAUCUCUGGAUGGUCUCUUGUUGGAAGAAGAUCACUCAGGUCCUUUGAGGCAGCGAGGGAGCCCUCUGGGGCAGCAGGAUAGCGCAUCUGCCUGGGGACCCUCCCACUGCAGCUCCCCCUCCUCACUCCUGCACGAGUGUUUAUCUGGGACAGCUGGAGCCUUGCAAGGAGAAUGGUCACCUCCAGCUCUUCCUUUCCAGACUGCCUGCACAGCCUUUGGGUGUGCCUGAGGGCCGUGAUCUGCAAGGUCUCCACGCAGCCUUCUGAAGCCACCAAGGUGCAAAGCAGCUAAUGAUUAAACCUGCUUUCUCAGUUUUACUGCUGGAGAAAGGCUUCUGUGGCAAAGCACCGAGGACAGCACAAUCCUCUUUUCACAUCAAAAGAAUAUGCAGACACUCAAGGUAAAUACUGGCCUGCAUUGAGCACACUUAUUUCUGUGCUGCUAUCUAUUUACCCUGAUGGUUUCAGUGAACAGAGUUCCUCAGUCCUCUAAAGAGUUCUCAGCACAGUGGCCAAACAAACAAGGUAAUUUUAUGGGUUUUGUUUGUUUCUGUAAAAAAAAAAGCAACAGUGUGACUGAAAAAUACAAAGGAAAUGGAGCAGACAGUCAAGAAGGAACAAAGCAAGAGGGGAAAGAAAAUCAAAAGCAAGUAAUUGGCAGAGUCAGAAUUAGUUAUUUCCAUUAAUUCCAAAGUUCUUGCUUCCUUCUGCCAGCCUCAUUUGAUUGCUGGGCAACAGGGGCAGUUGCUACAGGUUUCCCUUUAGUUAAAAUGAUUUGUUUAUAAGAUGUAUUAUUUGUAAUAAACAUAAGGGUAUCACUUUGUAAAAACA
rnacentral:lncRNA from 1 species